rnacentral:rRNA from 1 species
UACGUAGGGGGCGAGCGUUGUCCGGAAUCAUUGGGCGUAAAGCGCGUGUAGGCGGCUCGAUAAGUCUGCUGUGAAAGUCCAGGGCUCAACCCUGGAAUGCCGGUGGAAACUGUCGAGCUUGAGUCCGGAAGAGGCGAGUGGAAUUCCUGGUGUAGCGGUGAAAUGCGCAGAUAUCAGGAGGAACACCAAUGGCGAAGGCAGCUCGCUGGGCCUGUACUGACGCUGAGGAGCGAAAGCGUGGGGAGCGAACAGG